rnacentral:rRNA from 1 species
UAGGGAAUCUUCCGCAAUGGACGCAAGUCUGACGGAGCAACGCCGCGUGAGUGAAGAAGGAUUUCGGUUCGUAAAACUCUGUUGUUAGAGAAGAACAGCGCAUAGAGUAACUGUUAUGCGUGUGACGGUAUCUAACCAGAAAGCCACGGCUAACUACGUGCCAGCAGCCGCGGUAAUACGUAGGUGGCAAGCGUUGUCCGGAUUUAUUGGGCGUAAAGAGCUUGUAGGCGGUUCGUCGCGUCUGGUGUGAAAGCCCAUCGCUUAACGGUGGGUUUGCGCCGGGUACGGGCGGGCUAGAGUGCAGUAGGGGAGACUGGAAUUCUCGGUGUAACGGUGGAAUGUGUAGAUAUCGGGAAGAACACCAAUGGCGAAGGCAGGUCUCUGGGCUGUUACUGACGCUGAGAAGCGAAAGCGUGGGGAGCGAACAGG